rnacentral:lncRNA from 10 species
UUUCUUUAUCUAAAAAAUGGAGAGUGGUAACAGCACCCACUCCCACAAUUGCUGUGUUAACGUUAAAGCAUUUAGAAUAGUGGUAAAGACUCCAUAAAUGUCAUGGUUUGUGUUUUGUGGUUUGUUCGUUUGUUUGUUUUGAGACCAGGACUCGCUUUGUCUCCCAGGGUGGAGUGCAGUGACAAAAUCACAGCUCACUACAGCCUCGAUCACCCAGGCUCAAGCAAUUCUCCCACUUCAUCUUCCCCAAUAGUUGGGACUACAGGCAUGCACCACUAUGCCCAGCUAAUUUUUAAAAUAUUUUUUGUAGAGAGAGGGUCUCCCUAUGUUUCCCAAGCUCGUCUCGAACUCCUGGCCUCAAGGUAUCCCCCUGCCUCGGUCUCCUAAAGUGCUGGGAUUACAGGUAUAAGCCACCAUGCCUGAACCAAUGUUACAUAUUAUUAAUCAUCACAACUCUCUGAGAUAGCAAUUCUUAUCCCAAAUGUAUAGAUGAGCAAGUGUGCCUUGGGGAGAUUACAUAGUUUACUGCUGAGUGGCAAAGCCAGGAUUUAAAACCAGCUGAUUCCAAAACACGAUUUUUAUUAAACCAUGCUGUCUCUCAAGGCUGCUGAAAACCUCAUCAUGGGGCAGUUGAAGGGGUGUGGUUAGAGAAAAACUGCUUAGCUUGGAGAAAAGAAGAUCAUAGGAGAAACAGGGGGCUGUUUUUUGGAAAGACUUUCACAUCAAAUCCAGAGGACGAAACAAGGGUGCAGACUAGAGAGAAAUAUUUUUACUGUGUCAAUGAAAUGAACUAUUUUAAAGUGGUGAAUUCUCCAGCAUGAGAUGUUUGAGUAGACUUGUCAGGGGUAUCAUAAAGUAAUAGGAAUUAAUUAUGAGCAAAUUAUGAAUAAAUUAAUAGAGAAUAAAUCAUUAGCAAUAUUUUGAAUAUUUGUGAAUUUGAUGAAAUAUAUGAUUCCCCAAUAUAUAUGGACCCCUGGCUAAAAAAAAAAAAUCAAAUCACUUCACAGAACACAUCCAAGCAUUGUAUAUGGAAUUAGUCUGCUUCUGAGGUCUCAGCAAGAUUUGUAAUGCCCUGUGAAAAGCAGCUCCUGCCUCUUCCACCCUUGCACCGAGAUGCUGCCACCCACACUUACCCCUUGCCACCGAGGCAUAGAGGCAUAGUCCAGGCAAACGUUGCCUGAAAUAUGGGGACUGUUGUGCAGAGGAUUGGUUUAAAGUGAGAGGUGGGACUGGGCGCGGUGACUUGCGCCUGUAAUCCCAGGACUUUGGGAGGCCAAGGGGGGCGGAUCAUGAGAUCAGAAGGUCGAGACCAUCCUGGCUAACAUGGCGAAACCCCAUCUCUACUAAAAAUACAGAAAAUUAGCCAUGCAUGGUGGUGGGCGCCUGUAGUCCCAGCUACUCGAGAGGCUGAGGCAGGAGAAUGGUGUGAACCCAGGAGGCGAAGCUUGCAGUGAGCCGGGAUCGUGCCACUGCACUCCAGCCUAGGUGACAGAGCAAGACUCCAUCUCAAAAAAAAAAAAAAAAAGAGAGAGAGAGAGAGAGAGGUGGGCAGAUUCCACGGCUGAAAUCACAAUAGUGGGCGUCCAAUGGGCAGACCCUAAGAUUCAGAGCUGCAGAAAAUGUUAACUUCCUGCCAUGUGCUUCACUGUCUCUGAGGUUAGGGUCAUUGUCUCUUUAUUGACCUAAUCCACAUAUCUAACAAAGAGAGCGACAAAGCAACAGCCUAUCAGUGCCACCGCAGACGCUGUGAUCACCACGACGACAACGGUCCCGGCUGUGUUGACCAGAAAGCCCAGGCCACCUCCGACCAGGAUCUGAGCCAGCUGCACCAUGCAUGUGAGGGUGGCGCAGUCCAUGCCCUUCCCUCUCACGCUGUUGUCUGGGUCCCCUCCUGGGGCCUGCUGCCUCUGCAAAGGAAGCACAGAACCACCAUUUGACCUACAAGGAACUGUCAUUUAGGGCACAGGUCAGCAAAAUUUUUCUGUGACCAGCCAGAUAGUAAAUACCUUUGGCUUCGUGGAUUAUACAGCCCUGGUCAUAACUACUCAACUCUGCUGCUGUAGUGCAAAAGCAGGGGCAAUGUGGAGCUGAGUUGGCUUUCCAAUAUAUAUUGAUGGACAUUAUUAGCAUUUGAUUUCAUGUAAUUUUCAUGAAUUGGUGAUGUGGAACUGAACUGAAUAUUGAUGGGUAUUAGCAUUUGAUUUCAUGUAAUUUUCACCUGUCACAAGAUAUUAACCUUCUUUUGAAAGUUUUUUUCAAUCAUUUAAACAAUUAAAAGGAAUUCUUAGCUCGCAGACUGUACAAAAACAAGUGGCGGGCCAUAAUCAAUACAAUGUAGUGGAUACUUAAUAAAUAUCCCAUUCUUUUCCUUUCUUAGUGUUAAAAAUUCAAAGAUUUUAAGAAGGAUGUUGAAUUGCUGAUGUCCUUAAGAGAAGCAACUUUAAAAAGCAUUUCAAUCUUUCAAAAUAUGGUUGCUACUUGAUUAAUAUAAUAAUGUUUGGUUAAUACUUGAUAUUUCUUCCGAACUGGCUGAUAACUUUGUCAUUUGUUGGGUAUCGCUUAUGUGCUGGGCCUGGGUUUUUUUUUUACCUGUUACUGUAUUUCAACCUCACCACCUCCCUGGAUGCACAUGUUAUUAUCAUUACCCCCAUGGUAACAAUUAUAAUACUAGCUAUCACAUUUUGAGUCUUUGUCGGGUGCUAGGGG